UAGCCGAAACUAAACAAAUGAUUGACAGAAGAAUCUUGUAAGCACCCAAACAAAGUAUAUUUGCUAACUGUGUUACUUAUAUUUGGGUGAAUCUUGCAUGGCCUGGAUCCGUCUUUUUCUUUCUUCUUUCUCUUCCUCUUCCUCUUCUGUCUUCUGCUCUUUUUUCAAUGGUUGGGUUUCAUGUUAAUUCUCAAGUUAGAGUUUGGAGGUGAAAAAUCAGUGGUGUUUUUAAAAGAAAAGUACAUCACUGUUUUUUUGGUAUUAAAGUUCAAGCAACAGAACCAGACAAGGCC
rnacentral:lncRNA from 1 species